AUGUUUUCAGAUCACGAAAUAAAUCAUUGGUUUAGGUAUGAUAACCUCACAUGCAUACAAUGAAUUUUUCACUAACAUGAUAUGAAUUGUACAUGCCUGGUUUGGUUCAUGUAGUCAAUGUUACACCUCUUUUAGGGCAGCUGAAUAAGAAAGAUUUCACAUUUACAUCAAGUAUCGGAGGUACAUUGUUCUGGCAAUUAGUGGUUUCCAAAACAUGUCAUGGUUACAUAUUUAUCAAGUACAGUGCUUUAUGCAAGAAAGCAAACAUCGUUGCAUGGGGUGAGCAUGCCAUUGCGCUGUUGGCGUACAUGCAAUCUAUAUAUUGAAGUACUUCAAAAUAAACUUGGUGCACAUCUACAUUAUGUUUCCUAAGUAGUGUUUACGACUUAAAACUGAACUGCCAUUUUUAUGUAACUUUGAACCGCAAGAGCAUCGGCGACUUAGAUCUCCUUCUCUCUCAUCUAUGCAUGUAAAUGGUGUUCUUCUCUUUUUUAUUUUACUCUGCCUACAACUGAACCAUCUAUGUACUGUGAGGUCCCUUUCCCAUGGAUGAUAUAACUCAAUUGCGCAUCUGCGGAGUGUCUGCUUUCUUGACUAUUCCAGGAAUGAUUCACACCGAGUAAUAGAGAUAUGGCAGGUAUGUUGAUUAAUUCCUGCAAUCAGGGUCAUGUCAAAUAUUCACAGCUGGCAAGUGAAGUAUAGGGACAAAGCGGCUUAUACCAGCUAGCCAACCUUCUAUAUAUAUGGUUGUUUUGGUAUUUUUAUAAUACACUGAUUUUAUCUAUAUAUAAUGUUAAUCAUAUUUUUGGUUGUUCAGGGACAGUAAAAAUUGAGUGUAUGCACAACCUACCAUUUUCCCCCCAUCUUUAGUAUUUAAUUUAGUGGUUGACCCUUAGUUGCAUACUCCAUAUCAUUUUUAUGUGAUGCUGAGGACAGAGGUAGAUAAUUACUUAAGCGAUCUGUGACCACUGAUCUACCUGAUGAUCCUGCAAGAAGCCACAUGCCCACUCAAGACGUCCUUGAACCAAUCAACCCAGACCUAGGCUGAGGCUGCGAUAAGAGAAGAAAUAGACCAAAGAAUUGCUCCCAGAUAAAUAAGCCAUCACCCUUAUCCAGGUAUAAAAGUUAAUAAAGGCCAUGGGACUGCAAGAACUAGCCAUCCAGAGAACCUGUAUUGAAGAAGUCAUUUUCUCUGCAAUGGCCCAGCCGCAACACAAAUGUAGGAUAUGAGCCACCCUUCCAGCAGCUCUACAACAGAGUGAGCAGACCAUUGGGCUACUCGCUACUGUAAUAUUGAGUACCUCAAAUAAAGUAUUAUUAAGUGGCAUGUAUAAUAGCAGAUCCCUCUCUUGGUUUUACCAUCACACCUGCUAGACUAAGCUAUCAUUCUCUCCUCCAACGAUAGAAGUGACUACUGAUGUCUUAGAAAGUGGCAAAGCUAUACAUAUUACCAUCUUACUUUACUGAAUCCUUCAGGUUUUGGCUAUCAAGAGUAUGUUCUGCUUUGGGCAAGUAUCUAUGGUUUGUCGUGCUCUAUUUGUGUAGGCCAAGUCGAUGAACCAUGUAAUGAAAUUAUUA